CUUCACCGACGCGGGGGCUCUCACGAACCGAGGGCUGAGAUGACGGCAGGACGGCCGUCGACCGCCCGAACCUGUCCGGAUAAUGCCGGCGUAGGGAGAGCAAUCAUGGGGA
rnacentral:ncRNA from 1 species